rfam:Mus musculus chromosome 7, GRC primary reference assembly.
GGAGAGAUGGCUCAGUGGUUAAGAGCACUGACUGUUCUUCCAGAGGUCCUGAGUUCAAUUCCUAGUAACUACA